CAGAUCUAAUCUCUUUGUUGUAUGACCCCAUAGGUUCAAUUCUAUCUGUUAGUGAGAUAUACAGUGAUCUCUAUCAAAGUAUCAUUGAAACUCUUUUCAAUGGGUCGGAAUAAUUCUACUCUAACUCAUCAAAGAUUGUCAAUCCAGAGCAACCCUAGUGAGCCCUUAUAAUCUACCAGUGAUACUGUUGCCCAGCUAUGCAACCCAAGAGGGGGGGGUGAAUUGGGUUUCUAAAAUUUUAAGCCCAAC
rnacentral:lncRNA from 1 species